UUCAGUUGUCAAAGCCGUGAAACCUGUUCAGAUGUUCUCUUAGUCUCUACUGCUCUAGUGCGCAAAAGAGGGUAGUGUAUUUUGAUCAUCUGUUUAUCAUGCAUCUAGCCUUCCUGGUAGAGUGCCCAUCUUGUAUUUACAUGAGACACACAAUCGACAAAAUAAAUCAGUUAUGCCCGGCGAAUUUGACGCAAGUUUACCGGAUGUUGCCGAGAAAAACGCAAUGACGACCUACUUAAUAGAGUUGGUUUGAUAGAAAGUCUAUGCAGUUCGACGUGAUGCUGUAGGAGACCAAAACCCAAACCGGAAAAAGAUUGGACUUUUUGCAAUAUUACCCUUUGUAUUCGAUCAUAACUCGUAUUUUAUUGUUGAAGAACUACAGUUGGUGACAAAGGCUGUACUCUUUUAUUCAUAGAGUCAGGCCGCCUUGGCGCUUCAGAUGUUCCAGUUGCCUCCGUCCACUACGUACUACAUAUAAACUUGUGGAUUCAAUUUGCCAACACAAGAAACUCUCAAGGAGACAGGAUGGAAACAUUAACAAUCCUAGGCUGGUUUGUAUGUGCUGAUGGGAUUGAUUUCCUUAUCGUGACAGUUUUCAAGCCAGUUUUGCCAAAUUUGAGGUUCUUUAAGUCUAGGAUAGGGAUGUUUUAUGAAAUUGUCUAAAUCAGGAACAAGGUGGCGCUAAUUACCGCUAUUGACUCCUUCAAGUAGCAUCUGUCUGAUGGUGUCAGCUACUAUGCGAAAUAUUAGACAAAAAAACUUUUUAAGGUUUCAAAAAGUGUUUUGUAAAAGUAGAAAAUUGUAAAGUAGGAGAGCAAAGUCCCAAAACAGCUUUUUCGGCUAAACAGUAUUUUUGAAGCAUAUUAAUGAGUAAAACUGACAAGUUAUUACAUUGCAAUAGUACAUAUGAACCAUUUCUUUAAUGAAUAAAUGAAUUAGAACUCUAAUUUACCCCUUGGCAAUGAACUAUUAAGCUUCAAAAGCACGAAUGAGAUCUCAAAAGGGGAUGGUGACGUCAUCUUCCUUUCCUGCUUCAAUGUCCCAAUACCUUAAUUAUCAUAGUGCUCUUAGUUUGAGCUGAUGCGAUCAUUUAAAAUUGAGCUUACCGAGAAUCAAAAAAUCAAAAGUUGAUAUGGUGGAUUUAUACAAGUGCGAAGAAAACU